rnacentral:rRNA from 1 species
CAGUCGCCGCGGGAAUACGUAGGUGGCAAGCGUUGUCCGGAAUUAUUGGGCGUAAAGGGCUCGCAGGCGGUUUCUGAAGUCUGAUGUGAAAGCCCCCGGCUCAACCGGGGAGGGUCAUUGGAAACUGGGAAACUUGAGUGCAGAAGAGGAGAGUGGAAUUCCAUGUGUAGCGGUGAAAUGCGUAGAGAUGUGGAGGAACACCAGUGGCGAAGGCGACUCUCUGGUCUGUAACUGACGCUGAGGAGCGAAAGCGUGGGGAGCGAACAGGAUUAGAUACCCCGGUAGUCCCUGUCUCUUAUAC